UACGUAGGGGGCAAGCGUUGUCCGGAUUUAUUGGGCGUAAAGAGCGUGUAGGCGGCCAUACAGGUCAGCUGUGAAAACUCGAGGCUCAACCUCGAGACGUCGGUUGAAACCGUAUGGCUAGAGUCCGGAAGAGGAGAGUGGAAUUCCCGGUGUAGCGGUGAAAUGCGCAGAUAUCGGGAAGAACACCAAUGGCGAAGGCAGCUCGCUGGGACGGUACUGACGCUGAGGCGCGAAAGCGUGGGUAGCAAACAGGA
rnacentral:rRNA from 1 species